rnacentral:rRNA from 1 species
AACGCUAGCUACAGGCUUAACACAUGCAAGUCGAGGGGAAACGAUAGAGAAAGCUUGCUUUUUCUAGGCGUCGACCGGCGCACGGGUGAGUAACGCGUAUCCAACCUGCCCACCACUUGGGGAUAACCUUGCGAAAGUAAGACUAAUACCCAAUGAUAUCUCUAGAAGGCAUCUGAAAGGGAUUAAAGAUUUAUCGGUGAUGGAUGGGGAUGCGUCUGAUUAGCUUGUUGGCGGGGUAACGGCCCACCAAGGCGACGAUCAGUAGGGGUUCUGAGAGGAAGGUCCCCCACAUUGGAACUGAGACACGGUCCAAACUCCUACGGGAGGCAGCAGUGAGGAAUAUUGGUCAAUGGGCGAGAGCCUGAACCAGCCAAGUAGCGUGCAGGAUGACGGCCCUAUGGGUUGUAAACUGCUUUUAUAAGGGAAUAAAGUGAGUCUCGUGAGACUUUUUGCAUGUACCUUAUGAAUAAGGACCGGCUAAUUCCGUGCCAGCAGCCGCGGUAAUACGGAAGGUCCGGGCGUUAUCCGGAUUUAUUGGGUUUAAAGGGAGCGUAGGCCGGAGAUUAAGCGUGUUGUGAAAUGUAGACGCUCAACGUCCGCACUGCAGCGCGAACUGGUUUCCUUGAGUACGCACAAAGUGGGCGGAAUUCGUGGUGUAGCGGUGAAAUGCUUAGAUAUCACGAAGAACUCCGAUUG